rnacentral:rRNA from 1 species
UGGGGAAUAUUGCACAAUGGGCGCAAGCCUGAUGCAGCAACGCCGCGUGAACGAUGAAGGUCUUCGGAUCGUAAAGUUCUGUUGCAGGGGAAGAUAAUGACGGUACCCUGUGAGGAAGCCCCGGCUAACUACGUGCCAGCAGCCGCGGUAAUACGUAGGGGGCUAGCGUUAUCCGGAUUUACUGGGCGUAAAGGGUGCGUAGGUGGUCCUUCAAGCCGGUGGUUAAAGGCUACGGCUCAACCGUAGUAAGCCGCCGAAACUGGAGGACUUGAGUGCAGGAGAGGAAAGUGGAAUUCCCAGUGUAGCGGUGAAAUGCGUAGAUAUUGGGAGGAACACCAGUAGCGAAGGCGGCUUUCUGGACUGCAACUGACACUGAGGCACGAAAGCGUGGGUAGCAAACAGG